CGGACGGGGUGAGUAAUGUCUGGGAAACUGCCCGAUGGAGGGGGGUAACUACUGGAAACGGUAGCUAAUACCGCAUAACGUCGCAAGACCAAAGAGGGGGACCUUAGGGCCUCUUGCCAUCGGAUGUGCCCAGAUGGGAUUAGCUAGUAGGUGGGGUAAUGGCUCACCUAGGCGACGAUCCCUAGCUGGUCUGAGAGGAUGACCAGCCACACUGGAACUGAGACACGGUCCAG
rnacentral:rRNA from 1 species